GAGACUCCCUUUAAGGACUGACUGCUGCUAGGGAUGGGUUUCUUUCUGGAGAUUCCUCCUUGGUGAAGCUUUCCCCUGUGAACCUGAAAUCUUCUGAUACAGGUGUGUGAAACUUAACGGCAGUUCUAUCUUGUAAGCUCCUGGAGAUACUGUUGGCUUUGUUGGGCAGCACCGUGCAGGUGAUGACCACUCUCCCAACUCCAGCAGCAAAUUGUGUGUUUGUCUGUAUAGUGAUUUCAGUGUACUGUCUCAUAAAUUUAAUUAUGAAGUGAUUGUUUAAAUAUGUUGUUUUUCCAUGCAUGGAAUAAAUUUUGAAACUGUCUUGU